rnacentral:rRNA from 1 species
GACGAACCGUGCGAACGUUAUUCGGAAUCACUGGGCUUAAAGCGCGUGUAGGCGGGCCGCCGCGUCGGCUGCUGAAAUCCCCCGGCUCAACCGGGGAACGGGCACCGAUACGGGCGGCCUCGAGGGGGGUAGGGGGACCUGGAACUUCCGGUGGAGCGGUGAAAUGCGUUGAGAUCGGAAGGAACGCCCGUGGCGAAAGCGAGGUCCUGGACCCUUUCUGACGCUGAGACGCGAAAGCCAGGGGAGCGAACGGG